UACGUAGGUGGCAAGCGUUGUCCGGAUUUACUGGGCGUAAAGGGCGUGCAGGCGGUUUGUUAAGUGCAGGGUGAAAGCUCCCGGCUCAACUGGGAGAGGUCCUUGCAUACUGGCGAACUCGAGGGAGGCAGAGGAAAGUGGAAUUCCCGGUGUAGUGGUGAUAUGCGUAGAUAUCGGGAGGAACACCUGUGGCGAAAGCGACGACGCUGGGCCGUACCUGACACUGAGGCGCGAUAGCAUGGGGAGCAAACAGG
rnacentral:rRNA from 1 species